ACACUAUCAAGAAAGUGAAAAGACAACUCUUACAACUCGAUUCUUUUUAAUAUAAGAACUCAAUUAGAAUACAACUCAGUUCUAAUAUAAGAACUAAUACAAGAAUUCAUAAUGUGAAAACUUAUAUUACAAACGGAAGGAAAUUCUGACACAUGUAUAACAUAGGUGAACCUUGAAAACAUUAUAUUAAGUGAAAGAACAUAAUAGAUAGUGAUGAAAAGAUAAAUCAAUUUAAAAAUGGGCAAAAAUAUGACAGCUAUUCCUCCAAGAAUGAUAUAUGAAUGGCCAAUAAAUAUAUAAAAAGAUGCUCAAUCAUUAGCCAUUAGGAAAACGCAAACCAAAACCACAAUGAGAUAUCAUUUUACACUUACUAGGAUGGUUGUACAAAAAACACAAAUAAUACCAUGUGUUGGUAAGAAUGUAGAGACAUUGGAACCCCUCAUGUAUUGCUGGUGGGAAUGUGUAUUGGUGCAGCCACUUUGGGAACCAGUUUGGCAGUACUUCAAAAGAGUAAUCAUGGAGCUACUAUAGGACCCAGCAAUUCCACUCUUAUCAAUGCACCCAAGAUAAAUGAAAACAUAUAUCCACACAAAAACUGGCACACAUGUGUUCAUAGCAGUGUUAUUUAUAAUAGCCAAACUCUCUCUACUUUUGGGAUGUAGGGGAUUUUUUUUUUUCUAUUUUAAAAUUGAGGACAUUGAGGCAGAAAAGAAAGUGACUUGCUCAUAAUAAAACAGAGCAUAGAAUGUGAAGAGCUUGAUUUUAUUCUUUUUCUCUCCUAUGAAGUAACAUUAGGUAUGUAUGUAUGUAUGUAUGUAUGUAUGUAUGUAUGUAUCUAUCUAUCUAUCUAUCUAUCUAUCUAUCUAUCUAUCAUCUAUAUGCUAGGGCUGCCAUAACAAAAUACCACAGACUAGCUGGCGUAAACAAAUACUUAUUUUCUCACAGUUCUGGAGGCUGCAAGUCCAAGGUUAAGGUGCCACCAGGUUUGGUUUCUCCUGAGGCCUCUCUCCUUGGUUUGCAGAUGAUCACCUUCUCACUGUGUCCUCACGUGACUUUUCCUCUGUGCAUGCCCACCCCUGGUGUCUCUUCCUCUUCUUAUAGGUACAGCAAUCCUAUUGGAUAUUUACAUAGAAAUGACAUGAUCAGGAUAUAGAUCUAAAGGACAUUAACAUGUUAGUUUCUUGCCUGUGGACAGAUAAAAUUGUGGGUUUUUUUUCUCUCUUUAAGACUGAUUCUUUUUUCAAACUUUUUUGAAAUGGUUCAUGGCACAGAUGAACCACAUAUAGUGCCCAACCCACUAGAAUGUAAGCCGCGUGAGACCAGAGACCACGUCUGUCUUGCUUAUGAUAGUCCCUAGCAUCUAGUACAUAAACAGUGCUUACCACAUUGUAACUUACUAGGUGAACUUAAUCGUCACAAAAAAAUAAGCAAGAAAUAUUGUUAUCCCAAAUGAAGAAACUGAGUCACAGAGAGUUUAACUAACUUACCUAAGGUCACCCAGUAAGUUAGUAGUGAAGCAAGGUAUGAAUCCAGGCAGUCUGGGUCUAAAGACCUACUCUUCACCCCUACAUUG
rnacentral:lncRNA from 1 species